CAGUGGCCGAGUGGAUAACGCGAUGGUGUUUGAAGCGAAAGGUACUGGGUUCGAGUCCCAGAGUGAA
rnacentral:tRNA from 1 species